GUGGAGAUGCAGAUUGUAGCAAAAUCCAAGUGAACCAACCAUGCUAUUAUCAAAACACUUUGAAAGACCAUGCUUCCUAUGCCUUCAACAGCUACUUUCAGAAGUUCAAGCACAGAGGUGGUUCUUGUUUCUUCCGAGUUCUAAAUUAAACUGAUUCUAGAUAACAUAUACAUUAUACAAUAUUAUAAUAAUGCUUUUUAAGUAGAACAUAUGCAUGUUCACAUUGGCACAGAAUGCAAAAGCAGAUCUAGAAGAAUAGAAGGCCAUGUGACAUUGUAAAAAGUUUAGGAAUAUUAAAAUUACUAAAUGCUUAGUUAUAUAUAACAUGUAUGCCAUCAAAAGGAGGAAAAGGCAAAUUAACUUGGCAAACAAGUCAAGGAAUCAAUCCAAGCUAGUAACUGUUACUCCCUCCAUUGUUAGUUAAAGUGGUAUAUUAAAAUAACUGAUGAAUCACGAAACAAUUUGUCUCUAGAUAUAUUGGUUUUUUCAUGUUCCACUUUGUUCAAAUAAACUACUAUUUCAGAACAAAGUAUAAGGAGUCCUUCUAUUGAGAAAUUUGUGUAGAUGACAACACAAUAAUAUAGAUCCUUUGAUUGCAGGUCAUGGUUCUUGCCACUUUGACUUCAUUCCCUAAUUGGAACUGUCACUGAAGACUCAAAAAUAGCUGCAGCAGAAUCUACAGCUUAGAUUUUAUUUUUUCCUUUCUUUUUAUUGAGGCUGUGUAAUCCCCAUCAAACAUUGUGCUCUUGCCUCUAUUUUUAAUUAAUUGAGUUUAAUCUCAGUCUAAGACUGAGAAAGUUAUUAAAUCUUAUGCAGAUUAGUGUCCAAUCUCAAAGAGCUUAAUGAUAUGCUGCAAAAUAACAUUUGAGAUUUCAUA